UAGGGAAUCUUCGGCAAUGGGGGCAACCCUGACCGAGCAACGCCGCGUGAGUGAAGAAGGUUUUCGGAUCGUAAAGCUCUGUUGUAAGAGAAGAACGUGUGUGAGAGUGGAAAGUUCACACAGUGACGGUAACUUACCAGAAAGGGACGGCUAACUACGUGCCAGCAGCCGCGGUAAUACGUAGGUCCCAAGCGUUGUCCGGAUUUAUUGGGCGUAAAGCGAGCGCAGGCGGUUUAAUAAGUCUGAAGUUAAAGGCAGUGGCUUAACCAUUGUUCGCUUUGGAAACUGUUAAACUUUAGUGCAGAAGGGGAGAGUGGAAUUCCAUGUGUAGCGGUGAAAUGCGUAGAUAUAUGGAGGAACACCGGUGGCGAAAGCGGCUCUCUGGUCUGUAACUGACGCUGAGGCUCGAAAGCGUGGGGAGCAAACAGG
rnacentral:rRNA from 1 species